UCUCUUCACCCUUUUAAUAUCAUCUUCUUCAUUUCUCUCGACCUUUUCACCAUUUCUCAUCUUCUUCUUCCUGUUCCCCAUCUUUCAUAGAUAACAUCGCUUCUUACACACUUUCUUAUCUUUGAUUUUGAUUUCUCUGGUAACCAUCGACUUUUCCGAUGAUGAAUGGGCGGUAUAGAGCUUCCAACAGACGAGUCCGGCCUCUAUCCCGUUUCUUGUCUUGUGUCGUGUCGACACGGGUAUGUUGACCGGAAUAGGCGAGUCGGAGUAACACAGCUAAGCAAUGAAGAAAGUGCUUCAAAACUUGUGAAGAAAAUUCUCAAGCUCUCUAAAUAUUUCCUGCAGUAGAUUCCCGAGGAAUUGAUCGGCGGUGCUGCAUAUUCAUGUGAUGGCCAGUCCAUAGAUGCGUGCUUUCUUAACAGGCACAUUGUUUUCUUGGACUCGGCAUCAUUGACCAUAAAGUUUGUUAUCAAUCCGAGUGCAUAUUUACCUUUUAAUCAAAGCCGGGUGAUGUAUGCUUCUCCUCUUGCGGCUAAUCCUACAAAACACAAUCAGUUUGCUCUCGGGCUUAGUGAUGGUGGCCUACUAGUUAUAGAAGAAGAGGAUAUUGGGAUUGCUUUGUAGAAUGCCUUAGCUUGAGACCAGCAACAACUGAGAACUUGAUAUGAGCUUUUGUGAUAAUCAGAGCCCAGUGACUCUUGAAAUCUAUAUGUUUUAAAACAUACAUCUAGGGAUUGAAUUAGUGCAAGGGUUUUGAAGGUGUUGUCUUACUUGACUAUGUUAAGUGGUAAAUUUUCAAUGCAAAUAUACACGUACAUGUAGAAAUUGAAAUGAGAACCGUCAACAGAGUAUAAAAAUAAGAAAAGAAACCAAUAUUUUGGCAUAUACAAUGUUCCACUUACAGAGCAGGUAACUUUCUAUGCAAAUAUACAUGUAGCAAAAUCAUCCGAUGGCCAGUCCAUAUAUGCCUGCUUUUUUAACAGGCACAUUGUUUUCUUGGACUCGGCAUCAUUUACCCUCUUGACUGGAAGUUGCCUUCUGCAUUAUUUCUACAGCCAGGUGAUGUAUGCUUCUACUCUUGCGGCUAAUCCUAUGAAACACAAUCAGGUUGCUCCCGGGCUUAGUGAUGGUGGCGCACUGGUUAUAGAAGAAGAGGAUAUUGGGAUUUGGCUUUGUAGCACGCCUUAGCUUGAGACCAGCAACAACUGAGAACUUGAUACGAGCUUUUGUGAUAAUCAGAGCCCAAUGUCUCUUGAAAUCUAUAUCUUUUAAAACAUACAUCUAGGGAUUGGAUUAGUGCAAGGGUUCUGAAGGUGUUUUUUUGCCUGACUGAGUUAAGUGAUAAAUUUUCAAUACAAAUAUACACCUACGGGUAGAAAUUGAAUUGAGAACUGACUAUGAAAAUAAGA